rnacentral:rRNA from 1 species
GUGGAUUAGAUACCCUGGUAGUCCACGCCGUAAACUAUGGACACUAGGUGUGGGGGGUAUCGACCCCCUCCGUGCCGAAGCUAACGCAAUAAGUGUCCCGCCUGGGGAGUACGGCCGCAAGGCUAAAACUCAAAGGAAUUGACGGGGGCCCGCACAAGCAGCGGAGCGUGCGGUUUAAUUCGUCGCAACGCGAAGAACCUUACCAAGGCUUGACAUGGUAGUGGUACCAAUUCGAAAGAUGCGGGACCCUUCGGGGAGCUAUCACAGGUGCUGCAUGGUCGUCGACAGCU